UAGGGAAUCUUCGGCAAUGGACGAAAGUCUGACCGAGCAACGCCGCGUGAGUGAAGAAGGUUUUCGGAUCGUAAAACUCUGUUGUUAGAGAAGAACAAGGACGUUAGUAACUGAACGUCCCCUGACGGUAUCUAACCAGAAAGCCACGGCUAACUACGUGCCAGCAGCCGCGGUAAUACGUAGGUGGCAAGCGUUGUCCGGAUUUAUUGGGCGUAAAGCGAGCGCAGGCGGUUUCUUAAGUCUGAUGUGAAAGCCCCCGGCUCAACCGGGGAGGGUCAUUGGAAACUGGGAGACUUGAGUGCAGAAGAGGAGAGUGGAAUUCCAUGUGUGGCGGUGAAAUGCGUAGAUAUAUGGAGGAACACCAGUGGCGAAGGCGGCUCUCUGGUCUGUAACUGACGCUGAGGAUCGAAAGCGUGGGGAGCAAACAGG
rnacentral:rRNA from 1 species